rnacentral:rRNA from 1 species
UACGAAGGGGGCUAGCGUUGUUCGGAAUUACUGGGCGUAAAGCGCACGUAGGCGGAUAUUUAAGUUAGGGGUGAAAUCCCAGGGCUCAACCCUGGAACUGCCUCUAAUACUGGAUAUCUAGAGAUCGGAAGAGGUGAGUGGAAUUGCGAGUGUAGAGGUGAAAUUCGUAGAUAUUCGCAGGAACACCAGUGGCGAAGGCGGCUCACUGGUCCGAUACUGACGCUGAGGUGCGAAAGCGUGGGGAGCAAACAGG